AACAGAAACACAGAGCUCAGCCAAGAACGAAGAGAUUGUGUUUGUCAGAGGCUUGGGUGUAUGUGAUUAGUGAGACUGUUGCUUAGUGGUACUUUACCAAAGGAGACUCGACUCCAAAGCGGGUUAUGAGAAGUUCUUUAAGUUAUCGUUGUUGAUCGAUCCAGAGAGAGAGGAGCAGGUUGUUUUUUGCAUGUUUUCAUUUUUCUGAAGUUGCUAAAUUCGGGUCCAACGCUGACAGUACUUCCAAUACUCAGGUAAGCUAUUUCAAUUUCAUGGUAAUUGACUGUUGGGUUCUUCAGUUCCCUACCUAAUUGAUUUUUUCCUAUGGUUUUCAUGAAUAUUGCAGGUAUCUGAGUGUUUAUUGUUGCAGGUAGCUCCUCUUCUCAAUUCAACUAAUUUAGUUUCCCAAUUGCAUGGUUUAGCUUUUUGGGUGUUCUUAUUUUUUGUUUUCACGAUUUGAUGUGAUGUGUUUUGCUGGUUUUGUGUGUUAUUUGGAUAUUGGAUGUGUUUUGUUGCUGAUAGAACAGAGGAGUAGAGUGAAAUUUUGAAGCUUGAAUUGGGUAUUGAAGAAUUUAAUGCUUUAUUGCUUGGAACUAAAUGGAACAGUGUGGAGAGUUGGAUGUCUAGAGUGAAGGUUUUUAA